rnacentral:rRNA from 1 species
UACGGAGGGGACUAGCGUUGUUCGGAAUUACUGGGCGUAAAGCGCACGUAGGCGGAUUUGUAAGUCAGGGGUGAAAUCCCGAGGCUCAACCUCGGAACUGCCUUUGAUACUGCAAAUCUCGAGUCCGGAAGAGGUGAGUGGAAUUCCCGGUGUAGCGGUGAAAUGCGCAGAUAUCGGGAGGAACACCAAUGGCGAAGGCAGCUCGCUGGGACGGUACUGACGCUGAGACGCGAAAGCGUGGGGAGCAAACAGG